AACGCUGGCGGCGUGCCUAAUACAUGCAAGUCGAACGGUCUUUUCUAUGGAAGCUUGCUUCCGCUGAGAAGAUAGUGGCGGACGGGUGAGUAACACGUGGGUAACCUGCCCAUAAGAGGGGGAUAACAUCCGGAAACGGGUGCUAAUACCGCAUAGUUUUCUGAUCGCAUGAUCGGGAAAGGAAAGACGGCCUUUGUGCUGUCGCUUAUGGAUGGACCCGCGGCGUAUUAGUUAGUUGGUGAGGUAAUGGCUCACCAAGACGAUGAUACGUAGCCGACCUGAGAGGGUGAUCGGCCACAUUGGGACUGAGACACGGCCCAAACUCCUACGGGAGGCAGCAGUAGGGAAUCUUCCGCAAUGGACGAAAGUCUGACGGAGCAACGCCGCGUGAGUGAAGAAGGUUUUCGGAUCGUAAAACUCUGUUGUCAGAGAAGAACAAGUCGGAGAGUAACUGCUCCGGCCUUGACGGUAUCUGACCAGAAAGCCACGGCUAACUACGUG
rnacentral:rRNA from 1 species